AGCAACAGAGGAUUGGCGUUG
rnacentral:siRNA from 1 species